rnacentral:rRNA from 1 species
GACGAACGCUGGCGGCGUGCUUAACACAUGCAAGUCGAACGGUGAAGCGCCUUCCUUUUUGGUGGGUGUGGAUGAGUGGCGAACGGGUGAGUAACACGUGGGUAACCUGCCCCCUUCUUCUGGAUAACCGCAUGAAAGUGUGGCUAAUACGGGAUAUUCUGGGUCUGUCGCAUGAUGGGUCUGGGAAAGAUAUUGUUUCGGUGGGGGAUGGGCUCGCGGCCUAUCAGCUUGUUGGUGGGGUGAUGGCCUACCAAGGCGGUGACGGGUAGCCGGCCUGAGAGGGUGGACGGGCACACUGGGACUGAGACACGGCCCAGACUCCUAUGGGAGGCAGCAGUGGGGAAUAUUGCACAAUGGGCGCAAGCCUGAUGCAGCGACGCCGCGUGAGGGAUGGAGGCCUUCGGGUUGUGAACCUCUUUCGCCAGUGAAGCAGGCCUGCCUCGUUUGUGGGUGGGUUGACGGUAGCUGGAUAAGAAGCGCCGGCUAACUACGUG